UACGUAGGUGGCAAGCGUUAUCCGGAAUUAUUGGGCGUAAAGAGGGAGCAGGCGGCAGCAAAGGUCUGUGGUGAAAGACUGAAGCUUAACUUCAGUAAGCCAUAGAAACCGGGCAGCUAGAGUGCAGGAGAGGAUCGUGGAAUUCCAUGUGUAGCGGUGAAAUGCGUAGAUAUAUGGAAGAACACCAGUGGCGAAAGCGGCUCUCCGGUCUGUAACUGACGCUGAGGUUCGAAAGCGUGGGUAGCAAACAGG
rnacentral:rRNA from 1 species